UACGGGGGGAGCAAGCGUUGUUCGGAUUUACUGGGCGUAAAGGGCGCGUAGGCGGCCACCGCAAGUCGGUUGUGAAAUCUCUGGGCUUAACCCAGAAAGGUCAACCGAUACUGCGGGGCUAGAGUGCAGAAGGGGCAACUGGAAUUCCCGGUGUAGCGGUGAAAUGCGUAGAUAUCGAGAGGAACACCUGCGGCGAAGGCGGGUUGCUGGGCUGACACUGACGCUGAAGCGCGAAAGCUAGGGGAGCGAACGGG
rnacentral:rRNA from 1 species